rnacentral:lncRNA from 1 species
AUACAACUUCUCCUUUUUCAGGACUUCUAGCACUUCACGCAGAUGCUUUUCAUGCUCCUGCUUGCUUUUCGAAUAAAUCAAGAUAUCAUCUAUGAAUACUAUCACAGAUUUAUCUAAGAAUGGUUUACAAACCCUAUUCAUCAAAUCCAUGAAAGCUGCUGGGGCAUUGGUUAGUCCGAACGACAUAACUAAAAAUUCAUAGUGUCCAUAUCUCGUUCUAAACACAGUCUUUUCGAUAUCCUGCUCUCUUACCUUUAGUUGAUGGUAUCCCGACCUAAGAUCGAUCUUCGAGAAAUAGCUCGAAACCUGCAACUAGUCAAACAAGUCAUCGAUCCUUGGCAACAGGUACUUGUUCUUUAUGGUCACUUUGUUCAACUCUCUGUAAUCGAUGCACAUUCUCAUGCUUCCGUCUUUCUUCUUUACAAAUAACACAGGGGCUCCCCGGGUUGUACCUUUAGUUGAUGGUAUCCCGACCUAAGAUCGAUCUUCGAGAAAUAGCUCGAAACCUGCAACUAGUCAAACAAGUCAUCGAUCCUUGGCAACAGGUACUUGUUCUUUAUGGUCACUUUGUUCAACUCUCUGUAAUCGAUGCACAUUCUCAUGCUUCCGUCUUUCUUCUUUACAAAUAACACAGGGGCUCCCCGGGUUGAUGAACUAGGUCGAAUGAAAUCUUUGUCCAAUAACUCCUGAAGUUGUGUCAUAAGUUCUUUCAUUUCGGUUGGUGCUAAUCGAUAAGGUGCUUUUGCUAUCGGCGUCGUUCCUGGUAACAACUCGAUACAAAAUUCUACUUGUCGAUUAGGGGGCAAUCCAAGAAGAUCUUCGGGAAAGACUUCCGGAAACUCACACACCACCAGAAUAUUCUGCACCUCCUUCUUUU